AAGCUUGGUGCUUGCACCGAGCGGAAGAGUUGCGAACGGGUGAGUAACGCGUAGGUAACCUGCCUCUUAGCGGGGGAUAACUAUUGGAAACGAUAGCUAAUACCGCAUAAAAGUCGGCAUUGCAUGAUGUUGACUUGAAAGGUGCAACUGCAUCACUAAGAGAUGGACCUGCGUUGUAUUAGCUAGUUGGUGAGGUAACGGCUCACCAAGGCGACGAUACAUAGCCGACCUGAGAGGGUGAUCGGCCACACUGGGACUGAGACACGGCCCAGACUCCUACGGGAGGCAGCAGUAGGGAAUCUUCGGCAAUGGACGGAAGUCUGACCGAGCAACGCCGCGUGAGUGAAGAAGGUUUUCGGAUCGUAAAGCUCUGUUGUAAGAGAAGAACGAGUGUGAGAGUGGAAAGUUCACACUGUGACGGUAACUUACCAGAAAGGGACGGCUAACUACGUGCCAGCAGCCGCGGUAAUACGUAGGUCCCGAGCGUUAUCCGGAUUUAUUGGGCGUAAAGCGAGCGCAGGCGGUUAGAUAAGUCUGAAGUUAAAGGCUGUGGCUUAACCAUAGUACGCUUUGGAAACUGUUUAACUUGAGUGCAGAAGGGGAGAGUGGAAUUCCAUGUGUAGCGGUGAAAUGCGUAGAUAUAUGGAGGAACACCGGUGGCGAAAGCGGCUCUCUGGUCUGUAACUGACGCUG
rnacentral:rRNA from 1 species